rnacentral:rRNA from 1 species
GACGGAGCAGGCAAGCGUUAUCCGGAAUUAUUGGGCGUAAAGGGUACGUAGGCGGCUGGUCAAGUCUGGGGUCAAAGGCCACAGCUCAACUGUGGGAAGGCCCUGGAAACUGACCGGCUAGAGUGAGGUAGGGGUUGCGGGAAUUCCCGGUGUAGCGGUGAAAUGCGUAGAGAUCGGGAAGAACACCUGAGGCGGAAGCGCGCAACUGGGCCUCAACUGACGCUGAGGCACGAAAGCUAGGUGAGCGAAUGGG